GACGAACGCUGGCGGCGUGCUUAACACAUGCAAGUCGAACGGAAAGGCCCUGCUUUUGUGGGGUGCUCGAGUGGCGAACGGGUGAGUAACACGUGAGUAACCUGCCCUUGACUUUGGGAUAACUUCAGGAAACUGGGGCUAAUACCGGAUAGGAGCUCCUGCUGCAUGGUGGGGGUUGGAAAGUUUCGGCGGUUGGGGAUGGACUCGCGGCUUAUCAGCUUGUUGGUGGGGUAGUGGCUUACCAAGGCUUUGACGGGUAGCCGGCCUGAGAGGGUGACCGGCCACAUUGGGACUGAGAUACGGCCCAGACUCCUACGGGAGGCAGCAGUGGGGAAUAUUGCACAAUGGGCGGAAGCCUGAUGCAGCAACGCCGCGUGCGGGAUGACGGCCUUCGGGUUGUAAACCGCUUUCGCCUGUGACGAAGCGUGAGUGACGGUAAUGGGUAAAGAAGCACCGGCUAACUACGUGCCGGCAGCCGCGGUGAUACGUAGGGUGCGAGCGUUGUCCGGAUUUAUUGGGCGUAAAGGGUUCGUAGGUGGUUGAUCGCGUCGGAAGUGUAAUCUUGGGGCUUAACCCUGAGCGUGCUUUCGAUACGGGUUGACUUGAGGAAGGUAGGGGAGAAUGGAAUUCCUGGUGGAGCGGUGGAAUGCGCAGAUAUCAGGAGGAACACCAGCGGCGAAGGCGGUUCUCUGGGCCUUUCCUGACGCUGAGGAGCGAAAGCGUGGGGAGCGAACAGGCUUAGAUACCCUGGUAGUCCACGCUGUAAACGGUGGGUACUAGGUGUGGGGUCCAUUCCACGGGUUCCGUGCCGUAGCUAACGCUUUAAGUACCCCGCCUGGGGAGUACGGCCGCAAGGCUAAAACUCAAAGGAAUUGACGGGGCCCCGCACAAGCGGCGGAGCAUGCGGAUUAAUUCGAUGCAACGCGCAGAACCUUACCUGGGUUUGACAUGGAUCGGGAGCGCUCAGAGAUGGGUGUGCCUCUUUUGGGGUCGGUUCACAGGUGGUGCAUGGCUGUCGUCAGCUCGUGUCGUGAGAUGUUGGGUUAAGUCCCGCAACGAGCGCAACCCUUGUUCACUGUUGCCAGCACGUUAUGGUGGGGACUCAGUGGAGACCGCCGGGGUCAACUCGGAGGAAGGUGGGGAUGACGUCAAGUCAUCAUGCCCCUUAUGUCCAGGGCUUCACGCAUGCUACAAUGGCUGGUACAGAGAGUGGCGAGCCUGUGAGGGUGAGCGAAUCUCGGAAAGCCGGUCUCAGUUCGGAUUGGGGUCUGCAACUCGACCUCAUGAAGUCGGAGUCGCUAGUAAUCGCAGAUCAGCAACGCUGCGGUGAAUACGUUCCCGGGGCU
rnacentral:rRNA from 1 species